GAACUUUCCAGAGAUGGAUUGGUGCCUUCGGGAACUUAGAUACAGGUGCUGCAUGACUGUCGUCAGCUCGUGUCGUGAGAUGUUGGGUUAAGUCCCGNAACGAGCGCAACCCUUUUCCUUAUUUGCCAGCGGGUCAUGCCGGGAACUUUAAGGAUACUGCCAGUGACAAACUGGAGGAAGGCGGGGACGACGUCAAGUCAUCAUGGCCCUUACGGCCAGGGCUACACACGUGCUACAAUGGUCGGUACAAAGGGUUGCUACCUCGCGAGAGGAUGCUAAUCUCAAAAAGCCGAUCGUAGUCCGGAUCGCAGUCUGCAACUCGACUGCGUGAAGUCGGAAUCGCUAGUAAUCGCGGAUCAGAAUGCCGCGGUGAAUACGUUCCCGGGCCUUGUACACACCGCCCGUCACACCAUGGGAGUUUGUUGCACCAGAAGUAGGUAGUCUAACCGCAAGGAGGACGCUUACCACGGUGUGGCCGAUGACUGGGGUGAAGUCGUAACAAGGUAGGCGUAGAUGA
rnacentral:rRNA from 1 species